AGAAACCUCUAUUGGAUGCUGAGAAAAUAGUAAAUUUUUUAGUGUUUAUGUGAUAUGUUCUAUAGAUGUCUGUUAAGUCCAUUUGAGUUAUGGAGUUAUUUAACUUCAGUAUUUCUCUGUUUGGUUUUUGCCUUGAGCUAACAGGUCCUAUGGUAGAAGUUGGUAAUGUCAUUCACUCUUACUAUGUUAAGGUGAAAUGUUAUCUUGGCUAUAGCAUUGUUUCUUGUAUUUAAUUGGAUGACGUUUUUGAUGCAUAAUGUUUAAAAUUUUAAUAUACUCUGGGUGUAUUAUUUUUUAAUGACUAGGUAGGGUCCUUUCCUAUCUUUUCUAAUUAGUUGUGGCUCGAUGUCUAAUUAGUCAGAUAUUAAAAUAGCUUGCUUCUUGCUUCCAUUUGUGUGGAAUAUUUUUCCUACCUUUUAUCCUAUGUGAGGCAUAUUUCUUGGAUGCAGCAGAAAGAUGGACCCUGUGUUCCAAUCCAUGCAUUAGUGUUUGUUUGUUUUAACUCUGUAAUUUUAGAUGCUGUGGAGGGUGCUGCUUACCGUCUUGCUCAGCAUGGCUUGCUCAGUCUGCUUCCUUAUAGAACCCAGGACCACCAGCCCAGGGAUCCUGUUUUCCAAUGGAUUGUGUCAAGGUGACAUAAAACUAGCCAGCACAAUCGCCAAUUGAAAGGAUUAUAUCUUUAAAAUUAUACAUUUUAAAAGUUCGACCAGGCAAAUCUAUAGCUCUCCAGGUCAAAUACUUUCUAAAACCUUUGCAAAAACUUUAACAAACACACCUGUGGUUCCAGUGAACUCGGGUUGGAGUCUAGCACGAGUUGUUUCACUUCUGAAGUUUGUUUUAGAUCUUAUGUAAUCUCCAAAGGGUCCCAGGAAGGAUGGGACCUCUGCUUGGAUCUGUGCUGAGUCUGAGGAUCACUGCAGGUCAGGGGAGGAGAACUCCUCGCUGGGUGUGAAGCGGAGAAAAUCAAGAACCGGUUGUAACUUGUUCCUCAGCAGCCCCAACUCUGAUAAGGUCUCUGCUCCUGUCAGUUUCUCAGUGUCUGAUGCUCUCUGAGGCAGAUCAGACAUGUUUCGCACUGGUUCCCUAGAGAGGGAGGAAGGACAGGUGUGUGUGUGUGUGUGUGUGUGUGUGUGUCUUUGUGUGUGUGUGUGUGUGUCUUCUUAUGAGAUAAGCAGUAUCCCACAGAGAUGUGUAAAGAGGGCCCUGUAUUGAGAAAGUGAGGUCCCUUUUAUGAAAAUACCCGAGAAAGACAGAGACAAGUGCUUUAUAAUCUUAAGGUCGAGAAUGUCUCCACGGUGCCGGGUCUGAGGGAUCUGACUGAGAUGAAAGUCCCCCCCCCACCCACCCCGCAACACAGAGCCUCUUAAACUCCAUUUUAGAUAGCUCUCAGAUGGCUUGAAAUGCCUGUGACAGUUUACAGAGGCAAAGCGAAGCAUUUCACAUAUUCUCACCAGCCAGGUUGACUUGCUUCUAGCAGAAAACGUAAGCAACAGAUUGAUCUCUGUCCCUUUAACACACCUUGAAAGGGGUUUCCUGGGAUGGAGAGUUGGCUCAGUGAUUAAGAGCACUGGCUGCUCUUUCCAGAGGACUGGGGUUCAAUUCCCAGUAACCACGUGGCAGCCCACCACUGUCUGUAACUCCAGGCAUUUUCACCCCCCUUCCCCACUCCCCCGUUCCAGGCAAUCUGAUACCCACACACAGACAGACAUGCAGACAAGAUACCAAUACACAUAACACAAACAUUUAAAAAAAAUGACUAAAGGGAUUUCCUUUUGGUCAAGUACUGUACUAUUCAAGAACUCAAUAAAUGCUUACAUAAUAAAUAUCAAAAGGGAGAUUUUUAGAGUUGGAGGCCCCUACUCUGUUACCUCUGUUUUAAGGAAAGCAACAUAAGAGCCAGAGAGCUAAAUAGCAUUCAUUGAUUCAUUGAUUCAUUGAUUCAUUCAUUCACUCACUCAGGUUUAGUCAUCGGUUCCUGUGUGUGAGGGGUUGGUGUUUGUAUGUGGAAGCUGAGGAGGACUCGGACUGGAACUUUCUGUCUCUGCCUCUGAGCUCUGGGAUCACAGCUGUCAACCACCACACUCGGUUUACCUCGUGAGCUCUAGAGAAGCACCCUGCCAACUAUGGUGCAUGCUACCCCUUGAAAUUCUCUUUCCUGUUCUAUUAAGUGACAGGUAGCUAGGAUGGACGGAUAUGCUAAAUUUAUCCCUUUCUAG
rnacentral:lncRNA from 1 species